rnacentral:rRNA from 1 species
AUUGAACGCUGGCGGCAGGCCUAACACAUGCAAGUCGAACGAGUGGCGGACGGGUGAGUAAUGUCUGGGAAACUGCCUGAUGGAGGGGGAUAACUACUGGAAACGGUAGCUAAUACCGCAUACCCUCGGAUGUGCCCAGAUGGGAUUGGCUAGUAGGUGGGGUAAAGGCUCACCUAGGCAACGAUCCCUACCUGGUCUGAGAGGAUGACCAGCCACACUGGAGUUGAGACACGGGCAAGACUCCGACGGGAGGCAGCAGUGGGGAGUAUUGGACAAUGGGCGCAAGCCUGAUGCAGCCAGGCCGCGUGUAUGAAGAAGGCCUUCGGGUUGUAAAGUACUUUCAGUGGGGAGGCGUUACCCGCAGAAGAAGCACCGGCUAACUCCGUGCCAGCCGCCGCGGUAAUUC